AACGAACGCUGGCGGCAGGCCUAACACAUGCAAGUCGAGCGAAGCCUUCGGGCUUAGCGGCGGACGGGUGAGUAACGCGUGGGAACGUGCCCUUUGGUACGGAAUAGCCCCGGGAAACUGGGAGUAAUACCGUAUGUGGUCGAGAGACGAAAGAUUUAUCGCCAAAGGAUCGGCCCGCGUUGGAUUAGGUAGUUGGUGGGGUAAGGGCCUACCAAGCCGACGAUCCAUAGCUGGUUUGAGAGGAUGAUCAGCCACACUGGGACUGAGACACGGCCCAGACUCCUACGGGAGGCAGCAGUGGGGAAUCUUAGACAAUGGGGGAAACCCUGAUCUAGCCAUGCCGCGUGAUCGAUGAUGGCCUUAGGGUUGUAAAGAUCUUUCAGUGGGGAAGAUAAUGACUGUACCCACAGAAGAAGCCCCGGCUAACUCCGUGCCAGCCGCCGCCGUAAUAC
rnacentral:rRNA from 1 species